CUAUCUCUCAGUUACCACCUGGGGACCAAACUUCUCACACAGGAAAGCUGGGGUAUGGGGACAUCUCCAGACCAUAGCAGUGUAGUAUGGGGAUUUUGGUCAGCUGUGUGUAACAGAAAACUCACCCUGAUCAUGAGGUUGAAGAAGCCCAGAGAGAGGUAGCUGGGACUGAGCUGACACUCUAUGGUGGCAGAGGCCAAGGCACCUUCUGACUUGUUGCCCUGCCAUUCUCAGCACAUAUGUUCCACCUCCAGCUCCACCCAGCAAGGAGGAAGAGCAGGAUACAAGGCCUUGCACGGUGCUUGCACACACCACUUCUGCCAGCAUCCCAAGGACAAGAACUCAGGUCCACAGCAGCAUCUGGCUGCAGUGGAGGCCAAGCACUGCCCACUUCGUUUCCAGCAGCCAUGCGCGCAGCAGAAAAUCGGAGGUGUUUCCAUUAAGAGGCCACAGGAUGCGCUGUUGGGUGGAAGGUGGAGUGCGCAUGAGAAGCGUCGAAGACUCGAUGACUCCACUGGGGCUGAGAAACAAAGAGUGAAGCAACCUUUUCCAGAGAGGGGAAAGCGUGCAAAAGGAGCAAGGAAGGGUUGUGGCUCAAAUAUGCUAUAUUUGAGUUUGUGAAAGAUGAAGAAAGAAAGAAAGAAAGAAAGAAAGAAAGAAAGAAAGAAGGAAGGAAGAGAGAAAGUGGACUGAGUACCAGUGGUGUCCUCAGCACUCUGCUAGGCACAGUUGCAUGGGUUACCACUUUUACAGUCAACACAGCAGGGAAGAGCUGCAUCUGCCCGAGUCGCCAGCACCAUCUUCAGUGACGUCAUCACGUAACAGCAAGGAUGUCUCCUAAAGAGAGAAGGCCCACCAGUGGAGCUCCGUCGGCCUUCCAAAGGCAAAGAACUGCUGAAAUUAACCCAAGGCAGGGGCCAGUGGAGCAGACGGGGUCUGGGCUAGAGCCAGGCGUAAUGAAGUGGAAAAUGUUCACACCACAGGCAGCAUUACAAUGCACCUGUACAAACAGAACUCAGCCUGCCAUCCCUUCCUUCGGGGCCCAGCUGCCUCUCGGACUACUCUUUUAUGGCUUCACUCCUGGCCAUGCCUGGUCAACGUCAAGGUCUCUAAUGAAGAUAAGAGACAAAGGCCUCCAGAGAAGAGCUGGUAGAGAUGGAACAGAAGAGACGAAAAUGAGCAAAGGUACGCUCAGCACAGACAUCUCCUGAAAGUUCUGGGGAGUUCUCUGAAGACCAUGUUACCUAAAACAGGGAAGAACUACAGCACAGCUCAUGAAGAUUGAAGUUACGUGGCAAGAUUGAGGUAGAAAACUUUCACAUUGCUUGGCUCACUUCCCACACCCAUAUGAUCAGGCUCCAUUCUGCAGACAAGGAAACUGAGGCCCAGGGAGACAAAGCCAGCAGGUGACCAUGUCAAGAUUCAAGCCCAGGAACCAUGAUUUGUCUUCUGUACUCAGACCAGUGUUGAGUGAUGUUCUCAAAGCCACGCAGCUAUCAAGUGGGAAGCUGGAAGUCCUGGUGUGGUGGUUACUGCUCCACUAGGCAGCAGGAAGAGAACUUGGGGACAUCAAGGCCAGGCUGUCCUGAAGACUAGGCCAGUGAAGACAAGGGGCCUGGGUUUCCCCAGAGCAAGGCCUGUGGACCACAGUGCUACCAUGAGGGAAGAUGGGGAAAAGACAAACCAUAGUUCUUGACAUAGUGUGGCUCUACGUCUCCCAAUUUCACAAGGGCUCAGUUUGUCCCUCCCUGAGAUGGACCUUCCAUGGGCACUAAAUAGAAGGACUUUGUAAGGCACUUCCAAGGUCUAUUGCUCUUCACUCCUCUCAGACUCAACCUUAAGUCACACCCAACUCUAAUUGUCAUAACCAGAAGCUUUCUUACCACCAUGGGGGGCGGAGGGACAAAGGUCAAAAGUAGACAUCAUUACAACUGCCACAUACCUGGCCCUCACCUCUCAUUGCCAUCUUCUUAAACAUCAGUGGUUAGGGGCAUAAAGAGAGGGAAUGGAGAUAGUUACUCCCCACAGGGAGUCUGACAUAUAGCAGGCCCUCAGUGAUCACUAACACCUUUGACAAGCUAUGGGUUCUUUGCAGAUCAGAACCUGCUGCUUUAUAGCAUCCAAUCAUAGUGUCAUGCAGCCUGCAGUAACUGCCUAGUGAAUGCCUGUCUGUUGAGUGCAGGAGCUUUUCCGUCGCUCCCAUCCUCCUGGUUUAGGCAACAUCCAGGACUGUGUUUGGGCCUUUCUAAAUGCCCUGGGGCCAGUUUGACGCACAUCUCCCGGGGUGCCUCAUGGCUUCUCAGAGUUCAACCUCACCUAAUUCAAACUUAGCAGUAAGCUAUGUUUGCCAUUCUUCAUGGUUGAUGUUUAUAUGGCUGCUCUGAACUUUUAUAAUUAUUACUGUUUAAUUUAAAAAGAAGUUUAAAUUUUGCAAUGUACAAAAAAGUCAAGAUUGCCAUGUUUUGGUAAAAUGCUUCAUUCUUCAGUUUUCCCCAUUCGAUACACUUUCUCUGGUCCCUAUGUGGUAGGCAGCAUAAGGACCUCACUGUCCCUGGAGAAACAGACAUUGAAAUAAGCACAUUUAAUACAUUAUGAUUCCUGAAAUACUGAAAACUGCAGAGAGAAACUAGUUACAAGUGUGGAGAGUUAGCCUCCAUUUUGUCUUGAAAAGUGUUUAUCUAAGCCGGUAAUGCCAUAUACCAUAUGGCCCUAACUGCAUCAAGUGGCCUCCAUCUUCAGGGCUGAGGAGGUCCAAAGACAUGGCCUGUUUUCUUCCUGCAUCUUGAGGGAAUAAACAGAUGAGUACAGUUUAGGGCAAGAUUUCCCAAGUCAAUUCUACUACCUUAUGGGCAGGGCCAUGUUGGAAUAAGUCAAGGUUCUAGUAGAAAAUUAACGCCAGAAGAUCAGGAGGAUACCACAGGAUGAAAGAAAAGAAUCUCUCUCUCUCUCUCUCUCUCUCUCUCUCUCUCUCUCUCUGCAGAUUUCCCUCAUCUUUGUGAUUCUUACUGAAACCUGGAAGUAACUCUUUCAAGAAAGAGUUUAAGUGAUUUCAAGAGCACCCAGCCAGGGCAGGUGUUUCCCGUGGCUAGGAGGACACUCCUACUCCUUCAUGCUCCUGCUUGAGCAUCCCUUCUCUAAUUUACUGUGAGGCUCUUGACCACAGUAGCACUUCCUAUGACCAUCCUCUAGUGGCAGCAAGUUUCACAAGACAUAUGAUAUGUCGUCUUCAACCUUAUAGUUCUAGUAGGCGAGUGUCCUGACCAGCCCAAAGUAAGUGCUUCAUAAGUAUUUGUCAUCUGAAUAGAUGACUGAGUGGAUGAAUAAUGCCACGUUCAUUUACAAGCGCACUGUGGUUUUAUCUUUCUCGGAAAUAUUAUAACCCACUUGCUCCUAAACAGAUUUUUCAAAAUCACAUUCUAUGAAAUGUUACCAAUUCAUGAGAUAAUUUUACUGAACUAAUAAAAAGUUAAAAAAUAAGAAAUAGGGAUUCUUUUUGUUUUCAAACAAAAUUUAUCACAUAUACAUAAGAAGAGUUCAUUACCGUCACAGUG
ensembl:lncRNA